rnacentral:lncRNA from 12 species
GCCACUGGGGAGCUGGCACUACAGCUCCCGGCGUGCACUGCGCCGGCAGGGGUGGAGGGUGGAAAUGAAAAACCUGAGGUCUGGCUCUGUGAUGUCCUUCUGCAUAUCCACAGGCAAGUCAUUCUCGCUGUCACUCUGCUCCUGAAGUCUCUCCACUGUCAUUCUGCUCCUGAAGUCUCUCCACAUCUACUCCAAGAUGACAUUUUGUGUCCUGCAUAUGUGCAUGUGCCUCUUCAUCCCCCCAGAUGACUUCUAUGCUCAUAC